rnacentral:rRNA from 1 species
UGAUUAAAAUUAUAAAGUCUAACCUGCCCACUGAAAAUUAAAGGGCCGCAGUAAUUUGACUGUGCGAAGGUAGCAUAAUAAAUAGUUUUUUAAUUAAAAACUUGAAUGAAUGGUUGGAUGAAAAGUAAACUGUCUUUUUAAUAGUUGUAAAAUUUAACUUUUAAGUGAAAAGGCUUAAAUUAUCUAGGGGGACGAUAAGACCCUAUAAAACUUUAUAUAAAAUAUAUUUGUUUAUAAAUUGCGUUUAAAGGAAAUUUAUUGUUUUAUAUUUUGUUGGGGCGACAUAAAUAAAAUUUGUAACUGUUUAUAUAAAUAAAAUAACGAUAAUUAGAUUUUGAUCUUUUAAUAAGGAUUAUAAGAAUAAGUUACUUUAGGGAUAACAGCGUAAUUUUUUCUGAGAGUUCUAAUCGACGAAAGUAGUUGCGACCUCGAUGUUGAAUUAAAAUUUCGGUUAGGUGUAGCCGCUUAAUUAGUAGGUCUGUUCGACCUUUAAAAUUUUACAUGAUUUGAGUUCAAACCGGUGUGAGCCA